GACGAACGCUGGCGGCGUGCCUAAUACAUGCAAGUCGACCUUAGUGGCGAACGGGUGAGGGACACGUGGGUAACGUACCCAUCCGAAGGGGAUAAAACUUGGAAAAAGGUGCUAAUACCGUAUACUGACGGAUGGACUCGCGGUGCAUUAGCUAGUUGGUGGGGUAACGGCUCACCAAAGCCACGAUGACUAGCUGACCUGCGAGGGUGAUCGGCCACAUUGGGACUGAGACACGGCCCCAACUCCUACGGGAGGCAGCAGUAGUGAAUCUUCGACAAUGGACGAAAGUCUGACCGAGCAACGCCGCGUGAGUGAAGAAGGUUUUCGGAUCGUAAAACUCUGUUGUUAGAGAAGCGGUAUCUAACCAGAAAGCCACGGCUAACUACGUGCCAGCAGCCGCGGUAAUUC
rnacentral:rRNA from 1 species